CCCCAAAACACAUCCACCCACCGCCAUUCACACACAUAUACACUCACCGCCAUUCACACACAUACAUACAGACGAUAAUCUCUCUCCAGCGAUUCCUCACGCCUCCGAUUCUCAUCCAGUUUUUCCCCCUCUUUGAGUCGCCGCUGUCCGGCAGGUUCCGGCGUUGUUAUCGCCAUUUUCCGGCGAGUCUAGGUUGGACUUGGCUCUAAUUUAUGUAACACUGCCUCAAGAGCUAAUACGGGUAUGGAGAAGGAGAAGGAGAAGGUGAAGGAGUAAGGCACUUCCUAUAUCAAGACUUUUUGUAUUUUGAGACUAGGUGAUCAGGUUAACCCUUUUGCUGUACAGAUGUUGAAGUCGGGUCACUAGCGAACGGUUGCGUGUGAGUAACUCCCUAGAUAUGUUAGCCAUGGCAUGUACAGGAGUAGAAUGCAAUUUAGAACAGUUUUACUUCUUUCUACACCUUUGCUAAGUACGUGUGUUUUUGUGAAUAGUUGUACGAACUGGGCCUAUGUAAAUAUAUAUGCAUAUAUUAUAGUUUUUCUA